GACGAACGCUGGCGGCGUGCCUAACACAUGCAAGUCGAACGGGGAAGUUAGCAAUAACUUUCUAGUGGCGAACGGGUGAGUAACGCGUAGACAACCAACCUUUUUGUGGGGGACAACACUUCGAAAGGAGUGCUAAUACCGCAUGAGCUCCAGAUGCCGCCUGGCGUUUGGAGGAAAGGAGCUUCACGGCUUCGCAAAAAGACGGGUCUGCGUCUGAUUAGCUAGUUGGAGGGGUAACGGCCCACCAAGGCGACGAUCAGUAGCCGGUCGGAGAGGAUGGACGGCCACACUGGGACUGAGACACGGCCCAGACUCCUACGGGAGGCAGCAGUGGGGAAUCUUCCGCAAUGGACGAAAGUCUGACGGAGCGACGCCGCGUGAGUGAUGAAGGCCCUUGGGUCGUAAAGCUCUGUCAUCAGGGACGAACGGUCACGUCAGGAAAUGGGCGUGAAUUGACGGUACCUGAGAAGGAAGCCACGGCUAACUACGUGCCAGCCGCCGCAGUAA
rnacentral:rRNA from 1 species